GCGGGCAUAGCUCAGGGGUAGAGCACAACCUUGCCAAGGUGGGGUCGAGGGUUCGAAUCCCUUUGCCCGCUCCA
rnacentral:tRNA from 1 species